AGAUUGUAGUUACUGGUACUGCUCCAGGCUUCACUGACUUAUAUCGGUGUUACGUGAAAGGUCAGCUAUGUCCGUUUUUACAUUUGUCAGUUGACAUUGAUCUACAGGUAAAUUACACGUCGGGUCUAAUGUCAAGACAUGGUGAAUCUAAUGUCACGACCGACACGUCGGGUCGAAUGUCACGACACGGAGGGUCUAAUGUCACAACACGGAGGGUCUAAUGUCACGACACGGAGGGUCUAAUGUCACGACACGGAGGGUCUAAUGUCACGACACGGAGGGUCUAAUGUCACGACACGGAGGGUCUAAUGUCACGACACGGAGGGUCUAAUGUCACGACACGGAGGGUCUAAUGUCACGACACGGAGGGUCUAAUGUCACGACACGGAGGGUCUAAUGUCACGACACGGAGGGUCUAAUGUCACGACACGGAGGGUCUAAUGUCACGACACGGAGGGUCUAAUGUCACGACACAAUGGGUCUAAUGUCACGACACGGAGGGUCUAAUGUCACGACACGGAGGGUCUAAUGUCACGACACGGCAGGUCUAAUGUCACGACACGGAGGGUCUAAUGUCACGACACGGAGGGUCUAAUGUCACGACACGGAGGGUCUAAUAUCACAACACGGAGGGUCUAAUGUCACGACACUGUGGGUCUAAUGUCACGACACGGAGGGUCUAAUGUCACGACACAGUGAAUCUAAUGUCACGACACGGCAGGUCUAAUGUCACGACACGGUGACUCUAAUGUCACGACACGGAGGGUCUAAUGUCACGACAUGGUGAAUCUAAUGUCACGACACGGCAGGUCUAAUGUCACGACACGGAGGUCUAAUGUCACGACACGGAGGUCUAAUGUCACGACACGGAGGGUCUAAUGUCACGACACGGAGGUCUAAUGUCACGACACGACCCAAUAUAGUGCAUUACUUUUGACCAGCCUAUCUAGGGAAUAGGGUGUCAUUUGACCAGCCUAUAUAGGGAACAGUGUCA